CUUGGCUGAUGGCAACACUAAGGCUAAAAAAAACAAUUGGUUUUCCUACAACUAUUUAUAAUGUUCACAGAACAUGGAUGUUCUUCUGAUUGUUAUUCUAAAAACUAUGAGAAAUAAAAAUGCGAUUCUAAAAAGUAAUGAAACUCUGUAUCGUAUUCGCAUUGUUGUUCGAAUAUGUUUUGUAAAAAGGAGCAACACUGAAGACAAAGGUCAAAAAAAUAUAAACAGCUGUUUGUAAAUGAGCACCGAAAAAAAAUCCAACAAAUAUAAAUUGUAAUAUUGAAUUGAUAAAAAACAUAAUAUAAAAUCAAUAGCAUUUUGGAACAUAAUAAGGUUGGAAGGAUUGAGCGAAGAAUUUUUAGAGACCAAAGCAACAUAAUUACGAAAGGAGGCUUUGCACAAAAUUUCCGGCUCUGCAAAGAAGCCUUCAUAUACGUGUAGGAAUUUUGGCUAUAUGGAAGCUCUAAGCUGCGCUAAAAUUUUUAACCGAAAGGAGGUUAUCUGAAGCAAAUUGGCAGCGAUCUUCAACCUAUAUGAAGUCAAACACAUAACCUUCCAAAUGAUUGUGCAAGAUGAAAGGGAUGCGAAGUUGUAAUUUUUUUUUUUUAAUUUGGCAUUCCUUCAACAAUUGAAGCGAUUGUUGGAAUGCAUAUUCAAAUAGUGCGUCCAACAGUAAAUGAACAAAGGUACUUCAAUAGGAAAUUAACAUAGAGUAUAUGUGGUUAUAUGUGACCAUAAAAUAGAUGUAAGAGCCGUUGAUGCUCGUUUUGGUGGUGCAUCCCACGAUUCACCCGUGUGGAAUUUGUCACUUGAGGAACGCAAACUGAAGCAUCGCUUUGAACAGCGACAGAGUAACACGUCGCUUAGAUUUUUUUUAUUAUUUAUUUAUACCAAUUUCUCAAUUGUUUAUUUUUUAUUGAUAUUUAAGGAGACUGGAUAUAUCCUCUGGAAGCCUGGUUGUUAACACUGUAAAAGCGUGAAUGUAGACUCUGGGGAAGCAAAAUUUAACGAAGAACAUUCUUAAGCUAGAUCAAUUGUAGAACAAGAAUUAUAUGAAUAUGAAAAACCAUCCUUUUCGACUCUAUCACGCUCUAAACUUAUCCGAUUCAUUUUUGAGUGCCGACUUCUCAAUAGUUUCACAUAGGAAUGUUUUUAGAUAAUUUUCAGCCAUCCUGAAACCGUGUAUUUACGUUUGCUAAUAAACGAAAAAAAAACCGAAACAAAAUUUAUUUUAUACUAAAUAUUAGCUUGCUUUUUUUUAUGCAGCCUCUUAAUAAU